rnacentral:rRNA from 1 species
UACGUAGGGUGCAAGCGUUGUCCGGAAUUAUUGGGCGUAAAGAGCUCGUAGGCGGUCUGUCGCGUCUGCUGUGAAAACUCAGGGCUUAACCCUGAGCUUGCAGUGGGUACGGGCAGACUAGAGUGCGGUAGGGGGAGACUGGAAUUCCUGGUGUAGCGGUGAAAUGCGCAGAUAUCAGGGAGGGAACACCGGGUGGGCGAAAGG